rnacentral:rRNA from 1 species
ACUCCUACGGGAGGCAGCAGUGGGGAAUAUUGCACAAUGGGCGCAAGCCUGAUGCAGCCAUGCCGCGUGUGUGAAGAAGGCCUUCGGGUUGUAAAGCACUUUCAGCGAGGAGGAAGGGUUCAGUGUUAAUAGCACUGUUCAUUGACGUUACUCGCAGAAGAAGCACCGGCUAACUCCGUGCCAGCAGCCGCGGUAAU